rnacentral:rRNA from 2 species
CCAAGGGUAUGGCUGUUCGCCAUUUAAAGUGGUACGCGAGCUGGGUUUAGAACGUCGUGAGACAGUUCGGUCCCUAUCUGCCGUGGGCGCUGGAGAACUGAGGGGGGCUGCUCCUAGUACGAGAGGACCGGAGUGGACGCAUCACUGGUGUUCGGGUUGUCAUGCCAAUGGCACUGCCCGGUAGCUAAAUGCGGAAGAGAUAAGUGCUGAAAGCAUCUAAGCACGAAACUUGCCCCGAGAUGAGUUCUCCCUGAGACUUUAGGUCUCCUGAAGGAACGUUGAAGACGACGACGUUGAUAGGCCGGGUGUGUAAGCGCAGCGAUGCGUUGAGCUAACCGGUACUAAUGAACCGUGAGGCUUAACCUUACAACGCCGAAG